GACGAACGCUGGCGGCGUGCUUAACACAUGCAAGUCGAACGGAAAGGCCCUGCUUUUGUGGGGUGCUCGAGUGGCGAACGGGUGAGUAACACGUGAGUAACCUGCCCUUGACUUUGGGAUAACUUCAGGAAACUGGGGCUAAUACCGGAUAGGAGCUCCUGCUGCAUGGUGGGGGUUGGAAAGUUUCGGCGGUUGGGGAUGGACGCGCGGCUUAUCAGCUUGUUGGUGGGGUAGUGGCUUACCAAGGCUUUGACGGGUAGCCGGCCUGAGAGGGUGAACGGCCACAAGGGGACUGAGAGACGGCCCAGACUCCUACGGGAGGCAGCAGUGGGGAAUAUUGCACAAUGGGCGGAAGCCUGAUGCAGCGACGCCGCGUGCGUGAUGACGGCCUUCGGGUUGUAAACCGCUUUCGCCUGUGACGAAGCGUGAGUGACGGUAAUGGGUAAAGAAGCACCGGCUAACUACGUG
rnacentral:rRNA from 1 species